rnacentral:rRNA from 1 species
UGCAGAGGUCCCAAGCGUUGUUCGGAUUCACUGGGCGUAAAGGGUGCGUAGGUGGUGAGGUAAGUCGGAUGUGAAAUCUCCGGGCUCAACCCGGAAAUGGCAUUGGAAACUACCUUGCUAGAGGAUUUGAGGGGGGAUUGGAAUACUUGGUGUAGCAGUGAAAUGCGUAGAUAUCAAGUGGAACACCAGUGGCGAAGGCGAAUCCCUGGAAAAUACCUGACACUGAGGCACGAAAGCUAGGGGAGCAAACAGG